UAACCAAAUCCCAGGACCUCAGCCUCAC
rnacentral:piRNA from 1 species